rnacentral:rRNA from 1 species
CCUACGGGAGGCAGCAGUGGCGAAUAUUGGACAAUGGGCGCAAGCCUGAUCCAUCCAUUUCGCGUGGGUGAAGAAGGCCUUCGGGUUGUAAAGCCCUUUUGUUGGGAAAGAAAUCCAGCUGGCUAAUUCCCAGUUGGGAUGACGGUACCCUAUGAAUAAGCACCGGCUAAUUUGGUGCCAGCAGCCGCGGUAAUUCGAAGGGUGCAAGCGUUACUCGGAUUUUCUGGGCGUAAAGCGUGCGUAGGUGGUCGUUUAAGUCCGUUGUGAAAGCCCUGGGCUCAACCUGGGAACUACAGUGGAUACUAGGCGACUAGAAAGU